GCCCAGGUGGCGAAAUUGGCAGACGCACCAGACUUAGGAUCUGGCGCCGUAAGGCUUGGAGGUUCAAGUCCUCUCCUGGGCA
rnacentral:tRNA from 1 species